AUUGAACGCUGGCGGCAGGCCUAACACAUGCAAGUCGAGCGGAUGAAGGGAGCUUGCUCCUGGAUUCAGCGGAGGACGGGUGAGUAAUGCCUAGGAAUCUGCCUGGUAGUGGGGGAUAACGUCCGGAAACGGGCGCUAAUACCGCAUACGUCCUGAGGGAGAAAGUGGGGGAUCUUCGGACCUCACGCUAUCAGAUGAGCCUAGGUCGGAUUAGCUAGUUGGUGGGGUAAAGGCCUACCAAGGCGGCGAUCCGUAACUGGUCUGAGAGGAUGAUCAGUCACACUGGAACUGAGACACGGUCCAGACUCCUACGGGAGGCAGCAGUGGGGAAUAUUGGACAAUGGGCGAAAGCCUGAUCCAGCCAUGCCGCGUGUGUGAAGAAGGUCUUCGGAUUGUAAAGCACUUUAAGUUGGGAGGAAGGGCAGUAAGUUAAUACCUUGCUGUUUUGACGUUACCAACAGAAUAAGCACCGGCUAACUUCGUG
rnacentral:rRNA from 1 species